rnacentral:rRNA from 1 species
AUUGAACGCUGGCGGCAUGCUUUACACAUGCAAGUCAAACGGUAACAGGCCGCAAGGUGCUGACGAGUGGCGAACGGGUGAGUAAUGCAUCGGAACGUGCCCAGUCGUGGGGGAUAACUACUCGAAAGAGUAGCUAAUACCGCAUACGAUCUAUGGAUGAAAGCGGGGGACCGUAAGGCCUCGCGCGAUUGGAGCGGCCGAUGUCAGAUUAGGUAGUUGGUGGGGUAAAGGCUCACCAAGCCAACGAUCUGUAGCUGGUCUGAGAGGACGACCAGCCACACUGGGACUGAGACACGGCCCAGACUCCUACGGGAGGCAGCAGUGGGGAAUUUUGGACAAUGGGCGCAAGCCUGAUCCAGCAAUGCCGCGUGCAGGAAGAAGGCCUUCGGGUUGUAAACUGCUUUUGUACGGAACGAAACGGCUCUGGUUAAUACCCGGGGCUAAUGACGGUACCGUAAGAAUAAGCACCGGCUAACUACGUG